GUGAAUCAUCGAAUUUUUGAACGCAAAUUGCACUCCCUGGUAUUCCGGGGAGUAUGCCUGUUUGAGGGUCGAUAGAAUAAAAAAUCGAUGCGUUGCUUUUUUUUUAAGGGUGAUCGCGUUGGAAUAGAGCCGUCUUUUAAAUGUUAAUUCAUGUCAAAGUGGCUUGAAAUUUAUUCAUCAGGUACGAUUGAAGCGUAUUUAAGAUUAUUCUUGAUUGUGAAUGCGAGAUGACGUACAAU
rnacentral:misc_RNA from 1 species